GAAAUGAGUUACAAGUACUUGAUUUUGACUUUUGUACUCCUUUGCGCUAUGGCUACAAUGAUUUCUGCCCACAGCUAUUGCUCAGUUACAGCCGGUGUCAUAUGUGACCCUCCCGCCUUAACGAAAACCUGUUUGUGGGACGAGAAUAGGCAAGUUUACGAACGUUGUAAGCAGAGGUUGGGCACUUGCAGUCAACAAUCUACUGGAUGGUCAAAUGUUUAUUGCAUACACAAAAACUCUGCCAUCAAUUGCCAAUGGACGGAAACAGGAAAGAAUAAAUGCGAGUGCUACUGUGAAAUCCAGCGUGGAAGUGGCUGAUGGUCACACCAAAUUUCGAGAAGCGGGCCUUCCUCUGUCCCAUCUCUGAGACCUAAUGGUAAAACUUCACUGUGAAAAUAAAAUUUUUUUU